UGGGAGGAGUGCACUGAGGCAGGAUGGACAGAACAGUACCAUAGCCCGUGGGUUAGAAGCUCAAGCUUUAGAUAACAGUUUGUUCUUCAUUGGAAAUUCUAAAUGUAAAGUCUGGUAAGGUAGGUAGUGACCCCACUGAGAUUUAUGGUCUCCUGUGUUUGUUUAUGAUUUGGGCAAAUGGGUAUUAGUGUUCUAUUUUAUUUCUGUUUGAUGUGGCUUGCCUGGCUGUGUAGGACAAGGGAUGCACCAUGGUGGAACACGGAUCCCUAUGUGCUAAACUCCCACCCAAGGGGACAGGCAGUGUGCAGACUCCAACCCUUGUCCUGCUGCUGGUUGGCUCCCCAGGAACAGCCCCUGUGCCACCCUGGGUUCAGCACCAGUGCGUACGUCUUUGCUGGAGACCAGACCCUGCACGUGAAUGGGUUCAAAGGUGUGGUUUGUCAUUUAGAGUUGCCUUUGCAUUUCCUGUUGCAUAUAUCUCUAUCAGAUAUAUACAUAUAUACACAUAUUUAUAAAUAUGCAGGCUUCCCAUUGCAUAAGGUAGUUAAAUGCUAUAUUACAAGCAAGAGAGGAUUCACCACGGGAGAGUCUUUGCAUUCAAAGUGCUUACUAACAACAGCAAACCAAUUUCAUGAACGCUUUGUCCUGUAAUUUUUAGUUGGAGUUUGACUUCCGAGUCAUGAAAAUCAGUGGUGUUCUACAGCAUUGGUGAUUUAACCAACAAUAACAUUAGCUAUUUAUCUAUCAGCUAAAAAUAUGGCUGUUAGAGCAAUGUUUCAAAGGUCUUUUCAUUCAUGUUCAGAAAAAGGCCCCUUGUAACAGCAUCAGUAGUCUUUCAGGCAGAACAUUCCCAAUAAAUAAAUUGGCCUGGAAACAUGUCUGUGGUCCCAUGGAUGCCCUGCAUGCAGCUUGGGGGCUCUGCUCUCACCCUGCUCUUAGCUCUGGAAAGUAUCACAGCAGAUCUGAAUUCUGCUGUUGAGAACAACUGGCUUGUAAAUAUCAACGCUGAUCAACACGAACUGUUAACGCUCAGUGACUAAACUGUUAGGGCUGGAAGGCCCCACAGGCUUCCCAUGGUCUUCUCUUAAAAAUGUAUCUCAAAAUAAGAAAAACAUUUUGUGAGCAGCUUUCUUUUCUGAAAUUUUUCCUUUUUUUUUUUUCUUUCUUAAUAGCCAACUGGUAGCAGGGCUGCAGAACAGCUGGGCCCUGGGAUUUGGACACGUCUGGCCCUAUCAGGUGCCACCGGCAGCACAGGGACAUCAGCCCCAAUACUGACCACGGGUUCCUUAAGAUCUGCUGCAAAUGAGGGAGAAAAGGAAAGAUGCAAACAACCACGGAAUAUGGAAUUUACAUGCCAACAUAAAAGCCUCGCACUCCCAAGCCUCUCCUGUGCUUCCCAGUAGCCAAAAAGAAAAAGGAAGAGUGCAAACAGUUAAAGACCUGGUGCUUCAUAACACGCCGGGGGGACAGUUCCUACUCUUACCUAUUUGUGAGUACUUCUCUGUGGCAGGCACCUGGCCCAUAUACAGACAGGGCACACAGAAGGGGCACCAUUGUCUUCUGACAUCAUGUCAGAAGACUGGAAGUCUUAAUUACUUCAGUCUGCAUGUGCUUGAGGGGAAGAGAAGAAAGGUUUGAGGGUUAGCGGUCAGGAGAUGCCUGUGGGCAGCACCCAGUGAGCAGCUCCUGGCUCUGCCUGCAGCCCAGCACCAGGCCGUGGGCAGCAGCACACGUGGCAGCACCUCGUGGGAGCGUUCCUUGUGUUUCAGCUCCUUGCUGUCAGCAUGGCAUACACCUGAAUUACUGAGGCAGCAGCAGUUUAGCAGAAUUUGGUGCUGUCUCUGUUGAAAACAGCACGAGAGUUUUUACCUUAAGGGUUUUCAGAUUCAGUACUUUGGUGGGAAAGCUCUUCCUGUGCUCCGUCAGUGCCGCUCGUCUAUGAUUUCUCAUGUAUGCUGGAUCAAUCCCCAUUCAUUUUAGAGACUAU
rnacentral:lncRNA from 1 species